UACAACUUUCAGCAACGGAUCUCUUGGCUCUCGCAUCGAUGAAGAACGCAGCGAAAUGCGAUAAGUAAUGUGAAUUGCAGAAUUCAGUGAAUCAUCGAAUCUUUGAACGCACCUUGCGCUCCUUGGUACUCCGAGGAGCAUGCCUGUUUGAGUGUCAUUAAAUUCUCAA
rnacentral:rRNA from 1 species